rnacentral:rRNA from 1 species
CCUACGGGUGGCAGCAGUGGGGAAUAUUGCACAAUGGGGGAAACCCUGAUGCAGCGACGCCGCGUGAGUGAGGAAGGAUUUCGGUAUGUAAAGCUCUAUCAGCAGGGAAGAAAAGGACGGUACCUGACUAAGAAGCCCCGGCUAACGAUGUGCCAGCAGCCGCGGGAAUACGUAGGGGGCAAGCGUUAUCCGGAGUUACUGGGUGUAAAGGGAGCGUAGACGGCUACUCAAGUCAGAAGUGAAAACCCAGGGCUCAACCUUGGGAGGGCUUUUGAAACUGCGUAGCUAGAGUGCAGGAGAGGUCAGCGGCAUUCCUAGUGUAGCGGUGAAAUGCGUCGAUAUUAGGAGGACCACCAGUGGCGAAGGCGGCUUACUGGACUGUAACUGCCGUUGAGGCUCGAAAGCGUGGGGAGCAAACAGGAUUAGAUACCCUGGUAGUC